rnacentral:rRNA from 1 species
GAUGAACGCUGGCGGCGUGCUUAACACAUGCAAGUCGAACGGAAAGGCCAUGCUUUUGUGGGGUGCUCGUGAGGCGAACGGGUGAGUGACACGUGUGUAAACUGCACUUGUAUUAGUGAUAAAUUCAGGAAACUGGGGCUCAUACCGGAUAGGAGAUACUGAUGCAUGGUGUGGGAUGGAAAGUUUCGGCGGUUGGGGCUGGACUAGAGGCUUAUCAGCUUGAUGGUGGGGUAGUGGCUUACCAAGGCUUUGACGGGUAGCCGGCCUGGGAGGGUGACCGGCCACAUUGGGACUGAGAUAGGGCCCAGACUCCAACGGUAGGCAGCAGUGGGGAACCUUGCACAACAGGCGCAAGCCAGAGGCAGCAGCCCCGCGUUCGGGAUGACGGCCUUCUGGGGAUAAACCGCUUUGUCCGUUGACAAGGCGGGAGUGACGGUAAUUAGUAAAGAAGCAACGGCUAACUACGUG